CUUUAUUGGAGAGUUUGAUCCUGGCUCAGGACGAACGCUGGCGGCGUGCCUAAUACAUGCAAGUCGAGCGGACCAAUGAAGAGCUUGCUCUUCGGCGGUUAGCGGCGGACGGGUGAGUAACACGUAGGCAACCUGCCUGUACGACUGGGAUAACUCCGGGAAACCGGAG
rnacentral:rRNA from 1 species